UACGUAGGUGACAAGCGUUGUCCGGAAUUAUUGGGCGUAAAGGGAGCGCAGGCGGUUGGAAUAGUCUGAUGUGAAAGCCCACGGCUUAACCGUGGAAUUGCAUUGGAAACUGUCCAACUUGAAUGCAGAAGAGGAAAGCGGAAUUCCAUGUGUAGCGGUGAAAUGCGUAGAUAUAUGGAGGAACACCAGUGGCGAAGGCGGCUUUCUGGUCUGUGAUUGACGCUGAGGCUCGAAAGCGUGGGGAGCGAAC
rnacentral:rRNA from 1 species